rnacentral:rRNA from 1 species
ACCUAAAGUAAACUAAGUACAUCAUACUAAUACCACAUCCCUUUAGAGCAAUUCAAAUGAGGUACAGCCCAUUUGAUGCCGGAUACAACCCCCACUAACGGGUAAUUUUCUAAUCACACCUUAAAGUCGACUUAAGAGCAGCCAUCUUUUAAAAAGCGUCAAAGCUUAACCCUGUCUUAAAAAAUUUAGAAACUCACACCGACCCCUUUAACUGUACUAAGAACUUCUAUAAUCCUAUAGAAUAUUUUAUGCUAAAACUAGUAACAAGAGGAAACCCCUCUCCUUAAUGCAAGUCUGAGCCAGCAAGAACCCCUCACUGGCAAUUAACAUACGUAAGUAGUAACUUCUCCCAAGAAAACCCCACUUCCAACACUGUCAACCUAACACCAGAGCAUAUCAAGAAAGAUUAAAAGAAAAAGAAGGAACUCAGCAAAUAUAAAUCCCGCCUGUUUACCAAAAACAUCGCCUCUUGAUACCAUAAGAGGUCCAGCCUGCCCAGUGAUUUUAUUCAACGGCCGCGGUAUUCUAACCGUGCAAAGGUAGCGUAAUCACUUGUUUUCUAAAUAAAGACCAGUAUGAAAGGCAUCACGAAGACUUAACUGUCUCCUUUCUUCAAUCAGUGAACCUAAUCUCCCCGUGAAAAAGCAGGGAUCACACUAUAAGACGAGAAGACCCCGUGGAGCUUAAAACAUCACAACACUGCCACUAUAUUAAAUCACCCCGAUGAAACUUCCCCCGAUGGCACCCUGAUUGUAUGCUUUCGGUUGGGGUGACCGCGUAGAAUAACCAAUCCUCCGCAAUGAGAAGGACUUCCCACCCUAAACAACAAGUCACAACUUUAUGUAUCAAAAAAUUGACAUCCAUUGACCCAAUAAAUUGAUUAACGAACCAAGUUACCCCGGGGAUAACAGCACAAUCCACUUUGAGAGCCCCUAUCGACAAGUGGGCUUAUGACCUCGAUGUUGGAUCGGGAUAUCCUAGUGGUGCAGCCGCUACUAAAGGUUCGUUUGUUCAACGAUUAAAAUCCCACGUGAUCUGAGUUCAGACCGGAGUAAUCCAGGUCAGUUUCUAUCUAUAAAGAGCUAAUUUCAGUACGAAAGGACCAAAAUAGCAUGGCCCAUGCCCCCAGCAAACCAUAAUUAACUAUUUCAGACCCCAACUUAAAAAAUAAUUAAUCUUCCCCAUCACUCUAAA